GAUGAACGCUGGCGGCGUGCCUAAUACAUGCAAGUCGAGCGAACGGACGAGAAGCUUGCUUCUCUGAUGUUAGCGGCGGACGGGUGAGUAACACGUGGAUAACCUACCUAUAAGACUGGGAUAACUUCGGGAAACCGGAGCUAAUACCGGAUGAUAUUUUGAACCGCAUGGUUCAAAAGUGAAAGACGGCCUUGCUGUCACUUAUAGAUGGAUCCGCGCUGCAUUAGCUAGUUGGUAAGGUAACGGCUUACCAAGGCAACGAUGCAUAGCCGACCUGAGAGGGUGAUCGGCCACACUGGAACUGAGACACGGUCCAGACUCCUACGGGAGGCAGCAGUAGGGAAUCUUCCGCAAUGGGCGAAAGCCUGACGGAGCAACGCCGCGCGAGUGAUGAAGGUCUUCGGAUCGUAAAACUCUGUUAUUAGGGAAGAACAUAUGUGUAAGUAACUGUGCACAUCUUGACGGUACCUAAUCAGAAAGCCACGGCUAACUACGUG
rnacentral:rRNA from 1 species